rnacentral:rRNA from 1 species
UACGUAGGGUGCAAGCGUUAAUCGGAAUUACUGGGCGUAAAGCGUGCGCAGGCGGUUUUGUAAGUCUGUCGUGAAAUCCCCGGGCUCAACCUGGGAAUUGCGAUGGAGACUGCAAGGCUAGAAUCUGGCAGAGGGGGGUAGAAUUCCACGUGUAGCAGUGAAAUGCGUAGAGAUGUGGAGGAACACCGAUGGCGAAGGCAGCCCCCUGGGUCAAGAUUGACGCUCAUGCACGAAAGCGUGGGGGAGCAAACGAGG